AGAAUAAGAAGCGAUCAAUUGCAUUCAGUUUCGACCUGACCCUAGAUAAUAAAUAUCCUUAUUCU
rnacentral:tRNA from 1 species